rnacentral:rRNA from 1 species
UACGAAGGGGGCUAGCGUUGCUCGGAAUCACUGGGCGUAAAGCGCACGUAGGCGGCUUUCUAAGUCAGGGGUGAAAUCCUGGAGCUCAACUCCAGAACUGCCUUUGAUACUGGCGAUCUUGAGUCCGGGAGAGGUGAGUGGAACUGCGAGUGUAGAGGUGAAAUGCGUAGAUAUCGUAAGGAAGACCAGUGGCGAAGGCGGGUCUCUGGACAGUUCCUGACGCUGAGGCACGAAGGCCAGGGGAGCAAACGGG